rnacentral:rRNA from 1 species
UAUAGAUGGAUCCGCGCUGCAUUAGCUAGUUGGUAAGGUAACGGCUUACCAAGGCAACGAUGCAUAGCCGACCUGAGAGGGUGAUCGGCCACACUGGAACUGAGACACGGUCCAGACUCCUACGGGAGGCAGCAGUAGGGAAUCUUCCGCAAUGGGCGAAAGCCUGACGGAGCAACGCCGCGUGAGUGAUGAAGGUCUUCGGAUCGUAAAACUCUGUUAUUAGGGAAGAACAUAUGUGUAAGUAACUGUGCACAUCUUGACGGUACCUAAUCAGAAAGCCACGGCUAACUACGUGCCAGCAGCCGCGGUAAUACGUAGGUGGCAAGCGUUAUCCGGAAUUAUUGGGCGUAAAGCGCGCGUAGGCGGUUUUUUAAGUCUGAUGUGAAAGCCCACGGCUCAACCGUGGAGGGUCAUUGGAAACUGGAAAACUUGAGUGCAGAAGAGGAAAGUGGAAUUCCAUGUGUAGCGGUGAAAUGCGCAGAGAUAUGGAGGAACACCAGUGGCGAAGGCGACUUUCUGGUCUGUAACUGACGCUGAUGUGCGAAAGCGUGGGGAUCAAACAGGAUUAGAUACCCUGGUAGUCCACGCCGUAAACGAUGAGUGCUAAGUGUUAGGGGGUUUCCGCCCCUUAGUGCUGCAGCUAACGCAUUAAGCACUCCGCCUGGGGAGUACGACCGCAAGGUUGAAACUCAAAGGAAUUGACGGGGACCCGCACAAGCGGUGGAGCAUGUGGUUUAAUUCGAAGCAACGCGAAGAACCUUACCAAAUCUUGACAUCCUUUGACAACUCUAGAGAUAGAGCCUUCCCCUUCGGGGGACAAAGUGACAGGUGGUGCAUGGUUGUCGUCAGCUCGUGUCGUGAGAUGUUGGGUUAAGUCCCGCAACGAGCGCAACCCUUAAGCUUAGUUGCCAUCAUUAAGUUGGGCACUCUAAGUUGACUGCCGGUGACAAACCGGAGGAAGGUGGGGAUGACGUCAAAUCAUCAUGCCCCUUAUGAUUUGGGCUACACACGUGCUACAAUGGACAAUACAAAGGGCAGCGAAACCGCGAGGUCAAGCAAAUCCCAUAAAGUUGUUCUCAGUUCGGAUUGUAGUCUGCAACUCGACUACAUGAAGCUGGAAUCGCUAGUAAUCGUAGAUCAGCAUGCUACGGUGAAUACGUUCCCGGGUCUUGUACACACCGCCCGUCACACCACGAGAGUUUGUAACACCCGAAGCCGGUGGAGUAACCUUUUAGGAGCUAGCCGUCGAAGGUGGGACAAAUGAUUGGGGUGAAGUCGUAACAAGGUAGCCGUAUCGGAAGGUGCGGCUGGAUCAC